rnacentral:rRNA from 1 species
AAUGGGCGAAAGCCUGAUCCAGCAAUGCCGCGUGAGUGAUGAAGGCCUUAGGGUUGUAAAGCUCUUUUACCCGGGAUGAUAAUGACAGUACCGGGAGAAUAAGCUCCGGCUAACUCCGUGCCAGCAGCCGCGGUAAUACGGAGGGAGCUAGCGUUGUUCGGAAUUACUGGGCGUAAAGCGCGCGUAGGCGGCUUAUCAAGUCAGAGGUGAAAGCCCGGGGCUCAACCCCGGAACUGCCUUUGAAACUAGUAAGCUAGAAUCUUGGAGAGGUCAGUGGAAUUCCGAGUGUAGAGGUGAAAUUCGUAGAUAUUCGGAAGAACACCAGUGGCGAAGGCGACUGACUGGACAAGUAUUGACGCUGAGGUGCGAAAGCGUGGGGAGCAAA